rnacentral:tRNA from 1 species
AGGGGUGUAGCUCAACAGGUAGAGCGGCGGUCUCCAAAACCGCAGGCAGCAGGUUCAAGUCCUGUCACCCCUG